AUUGAACGCUGGCGGCAGGCCUAACACAUGCAAGUCGGGCGAGUGGCGGACGGGUGAGUAAUGUCUGGGGAUCUGCCCGAUGGAGGGGGAUAACUACUGGAAACGGUAGCUAAUACCGCAUACCAUCGGAUGUACCCAGAUGGGAUUAGCUAGUAGGUAAGGUAACGGCUCACCUAGGCGACGAUCCCUAGCUGGUCUGAGAGGAUGAUCAGCCACACUGGAACUGAGACACGGCCCAGACUCCUACGGGAGGCAGCAGUGGGGAAUAUUGCACAAUGGGCGCAAGCCUGAUGCAGCCAUGCCGCGUGUAUGAAGAAGGCCUUCGGGUUGUAAAGUACUUUCAGUGGGGAGGCGUUACGCGCAGAAGAAGCACCGGCUAACUCCGUGCCAGCAGCCGCGGUAAUAC
rnacentral:rRNA from 1 species